CCUAAUCCUUAGGAACAGAGUGGCGUUUUUUUUAGGAGAGAUUUUCCUUGAAAUCGUUUUCUUAGGCUCUCAUUAUGUGUUUGUAGAAUUUCUGCUGUGAUUUCUAUUCAUUAGUGUUCAGAAAAGCCUGUUGUGAGACGUUCUACAUUUACCAGGUUAGGUCAGUUUAAGAAUGUAACAACUUUUAAAUGGGAACAUUCUUCACCUUUAAAAAACGUUUUAUACUUUUUGCUUGUCUAAGAAGCCAUUUAAAAAACCCAAACAAACUAAUCCAUGAUACAAUCCAUCUAGGAAAUGGCAUAAACUUGUGUCUAUGUGUGUAUGUUUCUAAAGCGAGUAACUAACUCCUAUGUGAGAAUACGGGAUUACAGGGUUGAAGAGAAACCCGUUAGAAACAUGUCAAGGUUUAAUGCCAACAUUAUUCACACGAAACAGGAGAGGGUUAAACGUAUCAAAUGACCUGUUUAAGUGGUGUGUCAAUUUUCAAAAGAGCUGUUGCUCACCCGUGCAAAAAUGCAAACCAUUUCUGUACUUAAAUCACCUGGCAGGUAUCUUCAGGAAUGUGGCUUUGCACAAGGACUCAAAAUAGUUGUAAGGUACAUUACAUCAUGCGUCUUUGGUUUUUAAAAUCCAAUUCAAGACAACGGUGCCUUCACAUAAGUAGGCAAGACAUCGCCACCGGAACACAGAAGGGUCUUCGUUUUGGUUCCCAAUGUUCUGGCAUUGUCACUAUUACGGAAAUUAGCCCGUCCACAGGUCCUCAUGGAAGGAAGCUCCUCCUCUCUUAGGGGUGAGGAACGAGGACCACCAGGCUGGGAAGGCCAGCUUUGCUCCACGUAGUGAUGAGCGAGAGGUUGAACCAGGACCGAAGCGAUCAGCACCACCCUCGGGAACCUUGUGCGCUGUCCGCCUUGGCUGAAGUGCCCGUUGCCUGCUAAAGAGAAGGGCUGGUUUCGCUGAAAUAAGUGACUCACAGCUUCUGUGACAGUGAUUUAUUUUAGGUUUUUAAGUCUUCUCUCUGCACAAGUGCGACAAGGCCCCCGAACUGUUGCCUGCCCCAGAAAUUCAUUCAGGCAACGAAUGCUGAUGGUUCUCUAGCAGCAGGAGCUGGCCUCUCACGGUGGACACUGCCCCUGGGCCAGUUAAUAAGGGACUCUUCAGGCAAAUGUGCUCUGGAGUUUUCCAACAGAGUGGAUAAUUAAGAUCACAGACAGUAGAUGUGGACAUUUGGAGACUACCCCCUCACCUGGAUAGAGACACUGAAAUUUAACCACAGCCCUUCAGUGUGGAUUUGAUUCCCUAUGCAGACUUCUCUGCUCCAAAAUUACUAAAAAAUGUU